rnacentral:rRNA from 1 species
GGCGGCGUGCUUAACACAUGCAAGUCGAACGGUGAACACGGAGCUUGCUCUGUGGGAUCAGUGGCGAACGGGUGAGUAACACGUGAGCAACCUGCCCCUGACUCUGGGAUAAGCGCUGGAAACGGCGUCUAAUACUGGAUAUGUGACGUGACCGCAUGGUCUGCGUCUGGAAAGAAUUUCGGUUGGGGAUGGGCUCGCGGCCUAUCAGCUUGUUGGUGAGGUAAUGGCUCACCAAGGCGUCGACGGGUAGCCGGCCUGAGAGGGUGACCGGCCACACUGGGACUGAGACACGGCCCAGACUCCUACGGGAGGCAGCAGUGGGGAAUAUUGCACAAUGGGCGCAAGCCUGAUGCAGCAACGCCGCGUGAGGGACGACGGCCUUCGGGUUGUAAACCUCUUUUAGCAGGGAAGAAGCGAAAGUGACGGUACCUGCAGAAAAAGCGCCGGCUAACUACGUGCCAGCAGCCGCGGUAAUACGUAGGGCGCAAGCGUUAUCCGGAAUUAUUGGGCGUAAAGAGCUCGUAGGCGGUUUGUCGCGUCUGCUGUGAAAUCCGGAGGCUCAACCUCCGGCCUGCAGUGGGUACGGGCAGACUAGAGUGCGGUAGGGGAGAUUGGAAUUCCUGGUGUAGCGGUGGAAUGCGCAGAUAUCAGGAGGAACACCGAUGGCGAAGGCAGAUCUCUGGGCCGUAACUGACGCUGAGGAGCGAAAGGGUGGGGAGCAAACAGGCUUAGAUACCCUGGUAGUCCACCCCGUAAACGUUGGGAACUAGUUGUGGGGUCCAUUCCACGGAUUCCGUGACGCAGCUAACGCAUUAAGUUCCCCGCCUGGGGGAGUACGGCCGCAAGGCUAAAACUCAAAGGAAUUGACGGGGACCCGCACAAGCGGCGGAGCAUGCGGAUUAAUUCGAUGCAACGCGAAGAACCUUACCAAGGCUUGACAUAUACCAAGAACGGGGCCAGAAAUGGUCAACUCUUUUGGACACUCGUAAACAGGUGGU